ACCUGGCUGGCUCAGGCGGUAGAGCAUGUAACUCUUGAUCUCAGGGUCAUGAGUUCAAGCCCCAUGUUGGGUA
rfam:Mustela putorius furo unplaced genomic scaffold scaffold00027, whole genome shotgun sequence.